GCUGACCUCCCUCCCUGGAAACAUGACUUGGAGAGGUACUGCAUUUACAGACUCACGAAAUCCGACUGUGGAACAACUCAUUGCCCACGGCUCCCACAGUGAAGCCCGUGCAAGACGGAGACAUACAGUUACCUCUCUCAAAGGAAUUCUUGAUAUCAUUCACCUCCACCUGGGAACCAGACACUCUGAAAAUCCCCUGAUGCUGGAGACCUACGGGUGACAGAGGAAGAGCGUGAGAAACUCCCUCCUCACCUCCCCCC